rnacentral:tRNA from 1 species
UACAAAAAACCAUAAAAAUUUGAUUUUUAUAUAGACAGAUAUGUCUUUUGCAC